rnacentral:rRNA from 1 species
UACGUAGGGUCCGAGCGUUGUCCGGAAUUACUGGGCGUAAAGAGCUCGUAGGUGGUUUGUCGCGUUGUUCGUGAAAACUCACAGCUCAACUGUGGGCGUGCGGGCGAUACGGGCAGACUUGAGUACUGCAGGGGAGACUGGAAUUCCUGGUGUAGCGGUGGAAUGCGCAGAUAUCAGGAGGAACACCGAUGGCGAAGGCAGGUCUCUGGGCCACUACUGACGCUGAGAAGCGAAAGCGUGGGGAGCGAACAGG